rnacentral:rRNA from 1 species
GACGAAGGAUGCAAGCGUUAUCCGGAUUCAUUGGGUUUAAAGGGUGCGUAGGCGGACUGAUAAGUCAGUGGUGAAAUCGUCUUUCGCUUAACAAAGAAACUGACCAUUGAUACUGUCGGUCUAGAGUAUAGAUGACGUUGGCGGAAUAUGACAUGUAGUGGUGAAAUACUUAGAUAUGUCAUAGAACACCGAUUGCGAAGGCAGCUAACGAAACUAUAACUGACGCUGAGGCACGAAAGUGCGGGGAGUCAAAC